rnacentral:rRNA from 1 species
AUUGAACUGAAGAGUUUGAUCCUGGCUCAGAUUGAACGCUGGCGGUAUGCUUAACACAUGCAAGUCGAACGGAAACGAUGUUAGCUUGCUAACAGGCGUCGAGUGGCGGACGGGUGAGUAACGCGUAGGAAUCUGCCUGAUAGUGGGGGAUAGCCCGGAGAAAUCCGGAUUAAUACCGCAUAAUCUACACGUAGUAAAGGAGGCCUCUAUUUAUAAGCUUUCGCUAUCAGAUGAGCCUGCGUAAGAUUAGCUUGUUGGUGAGGUAAAAGCUCACCAAGGCGACGAUCUUUAGCUGGUCUGAGAGGAUGAUCAGCCACACUGGGACUGAGACACGGCCCAGACUCCUACGGGAGGCAGCAGUGGGGAAUAUUGGACAAUGGGCGCAAGCCUGAUCCAGCAAUACCGCGUGUGUGAAGAAGGCCUGAGGGUUGUAAAGCACUUUCAAUUGUGAAGAAAAGCUAAAGGUUAAUAACCUU